rnacentral:rRNA from 1 species
UACGUAGGGCGCAAGCGUUGUCCGGAAUUAUUGGGCGUAAAGAGCUCGUAGGCGGUCUGUCGCGUCGGAUGUGAAAGCCCGGGGCUUAACCUCGAGACGUCGGCGGAAACCAUCUGGCUAGAGUCCGGAAGAGGAGAGUGGAAUUCCUGGUGUAGCGGUGAAAUGCGCAGAUAUCAGGAAGAACACCCGUGGCGAAGGCGGCUCUCUGGGACGGUACUGACGCUGAGACGCGAAAGCGUGGGGAGCGAACAGG